GACAGUUCGGUCCCUAUCCGUCGCAGGCGUAGGAAAUUUGAGGAGACCUGUCCUUAGUACGAGAGGACCGGGAUGGACGUACCUCUGGUGUACCAGUUGUUCUGCCAAGGGCAUAGCUGGGUAGCUAUGUACGGAAUGGAUAAGCGCUGAAAGCAUCUAAGCGCGAAGCCAACUUCAAGAUAAGAUUUCCCACCGCAAGGGUAAGACCCCAGAAAGACUAUCUGGUUGAUAGGUCGAAGGUG
rnacentral:rRNA from 1 species